UUUGACGAUUUUGUCUUGCAGCCGUCCGUGCGUGUUUUCUUAUCAACCAAAACGAUUGCGUGAGAAAUUCAAUCAUCAUCUGGAAUUCCUAAUAAUUUGUUCACAAAAAAUCCUCGAAAAUGUUCCGCAUGGAAUUGCCUCCAAGUGAUGCCGCCGAGGAGAAACGGAAAGUACGAAAAGCGGUCCAGUCGAAUCUAUUUGCCUUUGUUGCGCUGUGCGUUGCCAUCCGGAUCGCUCCUCUGCUUUUGAACCGGCCAAGCCCCGUAUAACAAGUUGAUAGAUUAUAAAAUAUGGAAUAAAAAGAGUGAUUAAAUUGAAA